rnacentral:tRNA from 1 species
UAUUUUGGCAGAUUAGUGUAUUUGAUUUAGAAUCAAUUUAAGUAAAGAAUUUUAUUACAAGUAAUAU